rnacentral:misc_RNA from 1 species
GUGAAUCAUCGAAUCUUUGAACGCAAAUUGCACUCUUUGGUAUUCCGAAGAGUAUGCCUGUUUGAGGGUCAGUCAAAUAAAAAUCGGGGUUGUUGCUGCCUUCGGUGGUGACGCUUCGGAACUGGGUCGUCUUUGCCUUCGGUUAAGUGACCUAAAAUUUUGGAUGAUUUUUCGAACGUAUUUAAUUUUUUUUACGUACGUUUGUAUAUCGAAUAUUAGAUGCGGUCAUUUCCAUGAUUCGCGUCUAUAAUUUUCAUCAAAUGACCUCAAAUCAGGUAAGAGUACCCGCUGAACUUAAGC